CAUGGUGUGCACCUCCUCCCUGACCCCGAGAACCCCAAAGCCCUGACCCCUUCGGUCAGCUCUAUUUAAGGGUCAGCCAUCUUGCCCCUUGUUAUGAUCUGGGCGAAAGUCCCCUGAAAUGUCCCCUGGAGGCUUGGCCACCACCGCGUCUGUGUUCAGAGGAGUAGCCAUGGGUGCUUCUGUUUUCCAACAUUGACCAGAGAAGAAGUGUGACCCUGCUUUAUCCAAAGACAGAGAAGGAACUAGCUCUACCAAUAAAUGUCAAGAGAAAAGGGGUAAAAAGGAAAAAGUGGAGGUUUUUGUGCUUCCAUUCCAUGAUUCGGGCUUAUUCAAUGUAAUAGUUGCAUCUAAGUUCAUAAAAAAAUAAGAUUAUACCAUC